rnacentral:lncRNA from 1 species
UGAGUCCAGAUACCACAUGCAGAGAAGAAAGGAACCCAAACAGCUGAUGCAGAGUUCAGACUAAACUAACUGCAAGCUCCCCAGGGACAUCACAAGAGCUCCUAUGAAAGAUGACUGUUGUGUUUCCAUCCGGAGCAGCCGAGCAGCCCAACUUAUGCCUCUGGAAGUCAGUGGAGAGAAAGCCCUGUGCACAUUCACCCCUAACUGCAGCCUGCCUCCCCUGCCAGCAGUUUCAAUGGAGCAUGGAGCAGUACCAACAAUGCAGAAAGCCAACCCACAGACUCCAAAGUGAGGCUGAGAGGAGGAAGAUGAGCGGUUCCCUCAGAGCGGCU